UCUUCAUACAGACAACGAUGUCCACCUUUUAUAGGCAGUCCUGCAUGCUGAUUCAAGCCUCAAAGUCACUACAACCGUUCACAUGGUCUGCACCAUGACCAAGCUCCACGCCACCAAGCCAAAAAUAGUUGCGUGAACCUCUCCUUGCCAAUUGCCACAUCCUGGUCAAAAUUUGAUGGCGCCACCAGCCAUCCAAGCUAGUCUUCCUUCUUUUUCUAAUCGUCACUUGACCAAACCAAGUUCACCAUGCAACAUACAACUCAGUUCUCUAGCCCACCGAACAUCUCGCAUGACAUCCAUGACCGAUAGGACCUCAGUUCCUCCCCGAACUUAGUCCCGAAACCUCAGUUCCUCCUUGAACUUAGUUCCAGUUCGUCAUCGACCACGUUCUGCCUCAAGCUAACACCUGCACAUGAACAAACAAGCGACAAGUACGAGCCCAAGUCCAAGACUUGACUCAAGUCAAUCCGCACAACACCUCACACGAGCAUGUCAUGCAACAAUUCCAAAUCACCUCCUAUCACAACCAUAUAUAGACAACACAUGCAUAUCAAAUUAUGCCAUAAUUCAAAUCACUUUGCAAUGCCAAUUUCAUAUCAAGCCAAUUUUUCAUUACAUGAUCUCACAAUCUCCCCCUUGAUGAAAACAUUGGCAACACCAUUUAAAUAAUGAACAUUGGCAUUUACAUCCACAAAAUUAUUUUUAAAUCAAUGGAAAAGUGAAAAAAUAAAAAUAAAAAGAUCAUAUCAAAAAAUCCAAAAAGAAGAAAUGAUUUAAAAUUAUCUCCCCCUUUCUUAUCUAUCAAAAAAUCACUCAUGUGAACAUGCAAUGGGUAAAACUCUUUCUCCCCUUUGACAAUGGAUUCAUCAAGAACAUAAAAGACAACAAAAGAAGGCUGAACACGACACUAAAGAUGACAACUCCCCCUCAACAAAUGUUAUGAUAUGAGGAAAAUGCAAAGCUUCAAGAGUACAACAGUCAGAGUAAAAAGAUGCUCUAGUUGGUGCUGUCAUGUGUGUAGCAACAAGUACAAGCCAUAGCAAAUGCUCAAAUUGAUCAACUGAACAAUAUGAUACUUAAGCAUUUUGAUUUAGUUUUAAGUAAUUCAAAGAGAUGUUCACCAAUGAUUGUAGCACAUAACAAGUAUAACCAGGAGAUCAAACUAGUGCUAACACAUGCAUACAAAAGUGAACUACCCCAUAUAACGGUCAUACAUCAUGUCUCAAAGACUCACUUAAUACUUGUGGUUUUCAAAGUUUUAUCAGAGUUUACAGCGGUUCACAAGUAUUAGUUAGAACAUGUGUAUGCGAGUGGUUAUCCAAACUGUCCGCCAAAAUAUAAUUUUUCAUUUCUUUUCAACCACGCCAAGUUCAUCCCUUAGUGCAAUGGGAAGCUGUCUCAUCACGAGUGGUUGUGGACUACACAAGGCUCAAGUUCAUCCCUUAGUGCAAGUGGGAAGCUGUCUUUAUACCUUGACGUGGGACAGUAAAGACCCAACUCGAUCUUUCAUGAUUACUUAGCUUGGAUUUCAAGUUUUAGCACAAGAUUAUCAAGUUGUCCAAGUCAAGUGCAUGACUCAAGAAACAUGAGACAUAGCAGCCUAGCAUACAUAUGAAAGCAACAUGGAUCUCAACACAUCCUACACAUGCUAGUUGCCAUCUCAAAUGGUGAACAUUUUCAAGUCUCAACAGUUAUUAGUCAAGUUCACAUGUUAGAAAAUAGGCUCAUCUUAUAACAUGUAUCAAUGUGAUCAAAAGGAGCCUAAGCAGGAAGUACUAUCAUGUACGCACAGAACAUACCAAACAUAGCAUAGUUUUAUUCUAACAAUUAUAGUCAUGAAGCUCAAGGAUGUUCUAUCAUACAUGAUGAGAACUAAAAAUAGAAUUCAGUUCAAACUCUAGAAGCAGUUAGGAGGUUCAAAACAAAUUCUUGGAAACCACAAAAAAAAGAAAAAGAGCACCAUAUAGAGAAUGCAAAAUUGACUAUGUAAGACUCACCCUCAAAACAAUCCAGAUGGAUGUAACACCCCGAGUUCUCCCCGUAGAAAAGCAAAACGAGAAGAAUCCAAAGGUUUUGUGAAAAUGUCUGCCAACUGAUGUUCAGUAUCUAUACGAUGAAGCUCAACGGUUCCUUUCUCAACAUGAUCUCGAAGAAAGUGAAAUCUUAUAUCGAUAUGCUUAGUUCAUGAAUGUUGCACUGGGUUCUUAGCAAUACAUAUAGCACUAGUAUUAUCACAGAAAAGGGGAACCUUAUUCAAAUUUAUCCCAUAAUCUUUAAGUGUAGCUACUAUCCAUAGAAUUUGUGAACAACAACAAGCAGCAGCUACAUAUUCAGACUCAGCGGUAGAUUGUGCAACAGAAGAUUGUUUUCUAGAUGACCAUGUAAUAAGAGAAUUUCCCAAAAAAUGGCAUGAGCCAGAUGUACUUUUUCUAUUAAUUCUACAACCUCCAAAAUCAGCAUCAGAAAAACAUCUUAAGCUGAUAUAUGAGGAAGCAGAAAGCCAUAUGCCAAAGUUUAGAGUACCACGUAGAUACCUGAGAAUGCGUUUGACAGCUUGUAGAUGUGAAGCACGUGGAGAAGCUUGAAAACGAGCACAUAAACACACAGAAAAUUGUAUGUCCGGCCUCGAAGCAGUAAGAUAUAAAAGCGAACCAAUCAUGCUCCUGUACUCCUUUUGGUCAACAGGCUCACCAUCUUCAUCAAGAUCAAGUGAAGUAGCAGCUCCCAUAGGUGUCAUAAUAGGCUUACAGUUUUCCAUCCCAAAACGGUGUAGAAGAUCCCUUGUAUACUUACUUUGAUGAACAAAAAUGCCUUCAUUUGUUUGUUUUACUUGUAGUCCCAAGAAGUAAGUUAACUCCCCCAUCAUACUCAUCUCAAAUUGUUUACUCAUCAUUUCUGAAAACUUAGUUACUAAAGCAUGAGAUGCACACCCAAAGAUGAUAUCAUCAACAUAAAUCUGAACGAAUAAUUGAUCAUUGCCUUGCUUAAGUACAAAGAGAGUUUUAUCAAUCUUUCCCAUUGAAAAUCCCUUUUCUAUUAAAAAUUUCUUCAACCUAUCAUACCAUGCUCUUGGGGCUUGUUUCAAACCAUACAAAGCUUUUGAUAGUUUAGAAACAUGAUUAGGAAAUUUUGAAUUUUCAAAGCCAGGUGGUUGCUUAACAUAAACCUCCUCAUCUAUGUAGCCAUUAAGAAAAGCACUUUUUACAUCCAUUUGAUACAAUUUAAAACCUUUAGAUGCAGCAAAGGCUAACAAAAUUCUAAUGGCUUCCAAUCUAGCAACAGGAGCAAAUGUUUCAUCAAAAUCUAACCCUUCUAUUUGUUUAAAUCCUUGAGCAACCAACCUAGCUUUGUUUCUAACAACAACACCAUCCUCACUUUGUUUAUUUUUAAAUACCCAUUUUGUUCCAAUUAUAGUGUGAUCAGGUGGAGGUGGAACAAGCUUCCAAACUUUAUUUCGUUCAAAAUUCUCUAAUUCUUCAUGCAUGGCAUUGAUCCAAGAUUCGUCAGUUAAUGCAUGAGAUACAUCUUUGGGCUCAAAAGAAGCAACAAAAGCAGAAUGAGCAUAUGAUUCAGUAUCAACAAACCUAGACCUUGUUACUCUUUCAUUUAAAUCUCCAAUCAUUUGCUCAGGUGGAUGUCUCCUUUGAAUGUGACGAGGGGCUGAAAUUUCUGGAGCAUCUUCUUGUUCGUUUUCGACAUGUGUAGAUGAAGCAGUAGCUUGUGGAUGUCCAAUUGUUGCUGUAGUACUAGAAGGUGUAGUAGGAACAUGAGGCGGAGAAAUAGUAUGAAUUGUGACCUCAUCUUCGUCAUCCUCAUCUUCUUCUUCAUCAAUAAAUAUGCUCUCCCCCUGAACAUAUGCACUUGUACCUGCAUCACUUAGACUAGUGCCAGGACUAGUCUCAUCAAAAGUAACUUCACACGUUUCUAUCACUUUGUUAGUUGCCAAAACAAGCACACGAUAGCCACGCGAAUGAGUGGGGUAACCAAGAAAAAUUCCAUCUGUUGAUCUAGCUUCAAAUUUGUCUAAGUUUCCAGAUUUUAACACAAAGCAUUUGCACCCAAAAACUCUAAGGUGUGAUACACUUGGCCUAUGUCCAAAACGAAGCUCAUAUGCAGUUUUACCAAGUUUGGAUAUCAAAAACACACGGUUUGAAAUAUAGCAUGCAGUAGACAAAGCUUUAGCCCAGAAUUUUCUUGGAGUUUCAUAUUCAUCAAGCAUUGUUCUAGCCAUCUCAACCGAAGUUUUAUUUUUCCUUUCAACUACACCAUUUUGUUGUGGAACAUAUGGUGAUGAAAACUGAUGAUCAAUACAUUUUUCAGUGCAAAAAUGAUCAAAUGAAGAAUUUUUAAAUUUAGUUCCAUUAUCAGUUCUUAUAGCUCUAAGAGAUCCUGGGUGAUCAAUAGAUAAUCUAAGAACAAGACUUCUAAAAUGCCCAAAAGCCUCAUCUUUAGAUGCCAUAAAGUAAACCUAGGAGUAUCUAGAGAAAUCAUCAACAAUCACAAGUACAUACCACUUACCACCAAAAGACUGAACUCUCGAUGGUCCAACUGUAUCAAGGUGUAGAAGCUGCCCAGGUUCAUUUGUCAUGACCAUAGUAAGUGGAGGAUGUGAACCUGCACACAUCUUACCAUGUCUACAAGAAGAGCACACUACAUCGCUUUCAUUUUUAAGUUUAGGUAAACCACGUAUAAGAUCCAUACCACUAACACGCGUGAGAUGAUCAAAACCAACAUGCCCAAGUCUACGAUGCCAAAAGAAUAAGCCUUUUGAAACAUUGGCAACUAGACAUCUAAAUUUAGCACCAUGUACGACAUCAAAAUCUGCUUUGAAAACUCUUCCAAAUCUUGAAAUUUUAAAAACUAUAUCACCUGAAGAAUCUAACACUUUACAUUCACCUUUUUUAAAACAUACUUCAAGAUCUUCAUCAAUCAUUUGUGAGACAGAGAGCAAAUUGAAUUUCAAGUUCUCAACGAGAGCCACAUCUUUAAACAUAAACUUGUCAUUUACCUUCACAAUACCUUUUGCCAUGACAGGUGUAGAAGUAGCAUCUCCAAAUGUGACACUUUCUGCUUGAGAUGCAUGGGAGAGGGAGGAGAACCAACCUUUAUCACCAGUCAUAUGACGUGAGCAUCCAGAGUCCACUAACCAUAUGUUCUCCUUCCUCGCUCGAGAAGCCUACACAGAAACACAAGAUGUCGAGGCCUCAGUACUGGGGUUAGAAAUUAAACAUUUAGGAAUCUAGUACUGAGACACACGACCGCUAGCAAAUGUAGGCACAGAACGAGUGUUCUUACAUAAAAUUUUAGAUUGAGUACCACCCAUAUUUCUGGUCACAAAAGAAUAAGUCUUUCUCAAAUAAGAUCUAGCCUUAGCUUUUUCUUUCUUUUGUUGUUUGGCUAGUCUAAAACAAAAUUGCACAAUGUGACCAUCUCUACCACAAUGACUACAAGUAUAUUUAACUUUAUAUUUUUUAUAAUUAGUAGAAGCGACAUUAACAUUUUCUUGAUUAGAAGAUGACAUAGUACCAGCAGAUUUAAAAACUGUCUUUUUAGUUUCAUUAGCUAUUUCAAACUUACCAUUACCAAGAGAUUUGGAAAUAAUUGGUGCAUGAGACUUAGAAUGAGCAUAAGGAUCAAAACCUAAGCCUGUUUUGUGUGUGCUAGUCUUUUGUUCCAAAAUUUGAUUCAACAUUUUCGUUCCCAUCUGUCCUUGCAAGUAAUCAAUACGUUUCAAAAGGGUAGCACAAUUUUCACAUGCAUCCUUUUUAGUUUUAUCAUUUUUACCACAAUUAGAGCAUGAAAGAACCUCAAGAAUAUCAAAGUUUUCUUUUAAUUGUGUUAUUUUAACAUUAGCAUCUUUCAGUUUUAGUUUAAGCAAUUCACAUUUAUGACAAGAAGUUGGUUCAACAGUAGCACAAACAUGUUUCUCAUUUUUAUCUUUUUCAACUUUAAGUUUUUCCAAAGUCAAAGCAUGCAUGUCCCUUAAUGAAGUAAGCUCAGUAUACACUAUAUCACAUGAUUUGCAAGAAUCAUCAUCAGGAAUUAAAGUUUUUAAUCGGUCAUUUUCAGCAUAUAAAGAUUCAAUCAAAACAUCAUGUUUCUUAAUCUUUUUAUUUCUUUUCUCUAGUAAGGUACCAAGUUUUUCAACAGCUUUAGCUAACUCAUCAUAAGAAGGUUCUACCUCAUUGUAGCUGUCAUCAGAAGCAUCAUUGUCAUUGGAGCUUUUACUACUUGCCAUGAGACAAAGCCCAAUUAAAUUUUUCUUUCCGUUGGAAGUGUCAUCCUCACUAUCAGUGUCGACAUCACUCAUAUUAACUUGCUCAAGAGCAGAAAGAACACGAUGCACCACCUUGUGAUUCAAAUAGCCCUUCUUCUUAUUGCUUCUUAUUGUGUGCUUCUUUGUUCUUUCGAUUUCAUCUUCUUCGUCAUCUUUAUCUUUUGCAACUCUUGCCCAAAACUUUGGGCACUUGGGACGGAUGUGAUUUGGAUCUCCACACUCAAAGAACUUUUGGGGGCCACUGUAUCCUCUCUUCCUUGAUCUCACAUUUUGCAAAGCUCUUGUGAAGCGUGUAGAAAUAAGUGCCAAAUCUUGUUCCGGGAGUUGUUCUAGCUGUUCAUCAGUUAGUGAAGACAAAGAAGAUAGUGCAUAGCUGGUGGAAGUGUUAUCACCAUUAAAAUGGCUUGAUUGUGAAGCUAGAGCUAUUGAUUUAUUAGCAAUAUUUUUUCUAGCAAAAACAUCUAGUUCAUGAGUUUUCAGCUUAGAAUAAAGCACAUCUAAAGUAAGUGUACUCAUCACAGUAGAUUCUCUAAUAGAUGUACCUUUCAUCUCCCAAAUAGACAUAUCUAGAGCUCCAAGUAAUUGACGUGCAUUUUCAGCAUCAGUAUAUGUAACAUUAACUGCACGUAGAUUACUUAAAAUUUUAUUAAAACGAGCAAAGAAAUCAUCUAAUGCUUCACCGGGUUUCAUCUCAAAACGCAUGUAAUCCUUUUUAUACAUAUCUUGGCGUACUUCUUUAAUUGUAGAUGAGCCUUCAUGGUAAUCACACAGUGCUUUCCAUACCUGAUAUGCAGAUUUGAGAUGCACAACACGAUCGAAGUCACUCUUACCAAGCCCUUGAAUAAUAUAGUUCCUCGCCUUGCUGUUAGCUUCUACUUGUGCCAUGUUUGCCGUAGUCACACCAUCAAUCUCAGGCACUUCAUAAGGCUUGUAGACCUUCUCCCAAAUAGUGAAGCCUUGUGCCUGAAUAUAGGACUCCAUCUUUGCUUUCCAGAACUGAAAAUCAACACCAUCGAAAACACAAGGUUUUGCCGAAUAUCUAUCUGUCGCCAUAUUUUCUAAUUACCGGUUAAGAUCAAUUAGAAAAAGAACCUAGCUUUGGUACCACUUGUAGGAUCGAUAUACUCUAGGAUAGGCAAUCAGAGGGGGGGGGGAAUGAUUGCGUAAGCCAAAAUUAAAAUCUAAAGUUCACCCAAACACAAAACCAAAGUAAGCCCUUUUUAAUUAAGACAGAACAUUGUGCUUUUAAUAGAAAUAAACUCGACCAAAAAUAUGCUCCAAUUGACCUCAAAAUUUAAUACAAUAAACUAUAUAAAAUAUGCAAAUGAACCCAACUGGAAUCAUGUUAAUCGAAGGUCUAGAACUCGAGAUAUAAAAUAAACAAUGUCACUAUGUGUGAUAAUGACGAGAACUGAUCCAGUUCUAUUUUUGAUUAUGCGACAUCAAUUAAAGCUUAUGCCAUGAGACUUUUCAGAUUACUAGCACAAUACCCUAGCAACAAAAAAAAACAUAUGUAAACUUGCAAACAAGAUAUGAAUCUGAAACAAAAGGCUUGACAUGUAAAUCAAGAAGCUGAUAUGUAGAACGCGAUUAACAUCACAUUGAUAUGAGACAAUUGGACUUCAUUGCUCUCAUAAUAUGUUCACAAGAUGCAACUUACAAGCAUCCACAAGAGAACUCUACAAAAGUUCCCAAAGCACUUAAAACAACUACCGGCUAAUCCAGCAUGCGCUGCCUCUCUUUUCUAUGGGUCGCACUCGUGUGCCUCUGCAAUUCUAUCUUCAUACAGACAACGAUGUCCACCUUUUAUAGGCAGUCCUGCAUGCUGAUUCAAGCCUCAAAGUCACUACAACCGUUCACAUGGUCUGCACCAUGACCAAGCUCCACGCCACCAAGCCAAAAAUAGUUGCGUGAACCUCUCCUUGCCAAUUGCCACAUCCUGGUCAAAAUUUGAUGGCGCCACCAGCCAUCCAAGCUAGUCUUCCUUCUUUUUCUAAUCGUCACUUGACCAAACCAAGUUCACCAUGCAACAUACAACUCAGUUCUCUAGCCCACCGAACAUCUCGCAUGACAUCCAUGACUGAUAGGACCUCAGUUCCUCCCUGAACUCAGUCCCGAAACCUCAGUUCCUCCUUGAACCUAGUUCCAGUCCGUCAUCGACCACGUUCUGCCUCAAGCUAACACCUGCACAUGAACAAACAAGCGACAAGUACGAGCCCAAGUCCAAGACUUGACUCAAGUCAAUCCGCACAACACCUCACACGAGCAUGUCAUGCAACAAUUCCAAAUCACCUGCUAUCACAACCAUAUAUAGACAACACAUGCAUAUCAAAUUAUGCCAUAAUUCAAAUCACUUUGCAAUGCCAAUUUCAUAUCAAGCCAAUUUUUCAUUACAUGAUCUCACAAUC
rnacentral:lncRNA from 1 species